ACGGGAGGCAGCAGUGGGGGAUAUUGCGCAAUGGGGGCAACCCUGACGCAGCAACGCCGCGUGAAGGAUGAAGGUUUUCGGAUUGUAAACUUCUUUUAUUAAGGACGAAAAUUGACGGUACUUAAUGAAUAAGCUCCGGCUAACUACGUGCCAGCAGCCGCGGUAAUACGUAGGGAGCAAGCGUUGUCCGGAUUUACUGGGUGUAAGGGGUGCGUAGGCGGCUUUGCAAGUCAGAUGUGAAAUCUAUGGGCUCAACCCAUAAACUGCAUUUGAAACUGUAGAGCUUGAGUGAAGUAGAGGCAGGCGGAAUUCCCCGUGUAGCGGUGAAAUGCGUAGAGAUGGGGAGGAACACCAGUGGCGAAGGCGGCCUGCUGGGCUUUAACUGACGCUGAGGCACGAAAGCGUGGGUAGCAAACAGGAUUAGAUACCCUGGUAGUCCACGCUGUAAACGAUGAUUAUUAGGUGUGGGGGGUCUGACCCCUUCCGUGCC
rnacentral:rRNA from 1 species